rnacentral:rRNA from 1 species
UACGUAGGGGGCUAGCGUUGUCCGGAAUCAUUGGGCGUAAAGAGCGUGUAGGCGGCCCGGUAAGUCCGCUGUGAAAGUCGGGGGCUCAACCCUCGAAUGCCGGUGGAUACUGUCGGGCUAGAGUGCGGAGGAGGCGAGUGGAAUUCCUGGUGUAGCGGUGAAAUGCGCAGAUAUCAGGAGGAACACCAGUAGCGAAGGCGGCACUCUGGGCCGGUACUGACGCUGAGGAGCGAAAGCGUGGGGAGCGAACAGG